rnacentral:tRNA from 1 species
GAGGGUAGAGCUCAGUGAUAGAGUGCAUGCUUAGUGUGCAAGAGGUCCUGGGUUCAAUCCCCAGCACCUCCA